AAUUAGUUGGUUCUGCCUAUCAUUGGCUCUGGUUCCACCUACUGCUGGCUUCUCAGCUGCUGCCCUACCAGUUCCAAUGGGCAUCAGGCACCAACGGCUCAGGAGGAAUGCCUGGGAUGCAGCCACUGCUGCCCCACCAGCGCCUGCUUCCAAAGACAGUCACCACACUCUGCCUAAUGACAAUACUGUUACAGGUUUGGGCAGUGCUUUUAUUCUAGAAAAAUAGGUUCCGGUACUCACCAUGAAGUUGUUACAGUAAGUGCCACACUUUUUAACAAGGGUACUGUGCCCCCUGGGGGAAAAAAGCACUGGGUUUGGGAGGGGUGAUCAGCCUGAAUGAUGUCCAUGGGUCUGUUCCAGACCUGUAAUCCUGUAUCAGUGAGGUUAGAAUAUAUCCGAGGAAACCUGUCAAACUGGUUCCUUUAUUAAGGUUUAGCUGCUCAGCUAAAUGCCCAUCAACAGAAGCUUAAAAAGCAAGCUCUGUUGUCAUAGAGACAAAUGACUGGUUCUUUCCCCACCUCACAUGGCUGGAUGCCAGGUCAUCCUAGAAAGGAUAAAAGUUGGCUAUCUUGGUGAAUUUGGGCUGAUACUGGAAGCUGGAGAUGCAAGAGACUUGUCUUGUUCUGUGCUGGACCCAAAGCUACAGCCCGGUGAUCUCUAUGAGAACCUAAUGGGGAGGCAAAGUCUAUGGAAGGUUAAUGCUGUGAGUUCCUCCACCUUAUUAUAUGGGUGGGUGGGUGUGGGUGUGGGUGUGCAAAUAUGUAGCCGGUUGAUUGUUGUGUGGCUCCUACAGGCCCCCCAGCAUUUCACAAACAAAACUAGGGGCAUGCUCACAAAACCCAAGUUAUCUUAUAAAAGAUGUAAGUCCUUCUCCUUCCUUGUCACCCCACAGAUGCUGCUAAAGUCUCCGCUGUGUCUUCUGUAUGCUGUUAUUGUUUUCAUCUGCAAUUGCCAGUCUUCCUCUGAUCUAAAAGCCAGGAGGGUGCUUGUUCUUUUGGAUAAUGUUGGUAAAAGUAAAGCUUUAGUCCAUGAUACUGCUGAGGCUCCAAUACUUUGGCCACCUCAUUUGAAGAGAAGACUCCCUGGAAAAGGCCCUGAUGUUGGGAAAGAUUGA
rnacentral:lncRNA from 1 species